rnacentral:rRNA from 1 species
GUGAACGCUGGCGGUAGGCCUAACACAUGCAAGUCGAACGGCAGCACAGUAAGAGCUUGCUCUUACGGGUGGCGAGUGGCGGACGGGUGAGGAAUACAUCGGAAUCUACUUUUUCGUGGGGGAUAACGUAGGGAAACUUACGCUAAUACCACAUACGACCUACGGGUGAAAGCAGGGGAUCUUCGGACCUUGCGCGAUUGAAUGAGCCGAUGUCGGAUUAGCUAGUUGGCGGGGUAAAGGCCCACCAAGGCGACGAUCCGUAGCUGGUCUGAGAGGAUGAUCAGCCACACUGGAACUGAGACACGGUCCAGACUCCUACGGGAGGCAGCAGUGGGGAAUAUUGGACAAUGGGCGCAAGCCUGAUCCAGCCAUACCGCGUGGGUGAAGAAGGCCUUCGGGUUGUAAAGCCCUUUUGUUGGGAAAGAAAAGCAGCAGGUUAAUACCCCGCUGUUCUGACGGUACCCAAAGAAUAAGCACCGGCUAACUUCGU